AUCACGGCUGUGGUCGGGUGAUGGCUAUUUACGCCGACGCCGGCGCCUCCUCCCUAAUCAGUUAAUUCCGACCGCCACGGCGAAGAUUUUCACCGUUCACCGUCUCCAGCAAGUCACUAGGACGUCUAGACCGACUCUGCUGCUCUUUCAAAACUAAUUUUCUGAGGUUUAUUCCUCAGUAAAUCCACCCCCCUAGCUAAAGCCCUGUACCACUUCUGUAAACUCCGGAGCCCUAGAACCCCCUCCCUCCGCCAUAGAAGUUAAAGUUUCCAACUACUUACAAUGCCGAAGGUGUAUGGAACUGGGGUUUACGAUUUCAAGCGCCACAGAGUGGCGGAGUACCCCGUCGAGUCCAAUCAGGUCGACGACAAGCCCGUGGAGUCCAAGCCUGGUGCGGCACUGCCAAACACUAUAACGCUUUCGGAGAUUCAGCGAGACCGGCUGACGAAGAUUGCGGCGGCGAACUGGUCGAAAGUAACCGACCCUUCGAAGCCUAAGAAGCCCUUUGAUCCAGAGUUAGUAAAGAAGAUUUAUGAGACGGAGCUUUCGGUUAAAGAGGGGCGCAAGACCGUGCCUCUGCAGAGGGUGAUGAUUUUGGAGGUCAGUCAGUACUUGGAAAACUAUUUGUGGCCUAAUUUUGACCCGGAGACUGCGACGUUCGAGCAUGUAAUGUCGAUGAUACUCAUGGUUAAUGAGAAGUUUCGAGAGAAUGUAGCAGCUUGGGUAUGUUUUUAUGAUAGGAAGGACGUCUUUAAGGGGUUUCUUGAGAGGGUUCUUCGACUGAAGGAGGGAAGAGAAAUAAGCAUUGCAGAGAAAACAAAUUAUCUUGUUUUUAUGAUUAAUGCCUUUCAGAGCUUGGAGGAUGAGAUUGUCAGUGAGACGGUAUUGAGAAUAGCAGGUCUGCAGUCUUGGCACAGUUUAUCUUAUGGUCGUUUUCAGAUGGAGCUUUGUCUUAAUACUGAUAUAAUUAAGAAAUGGAAAAGAAUGAUAAAGAGAGAGGCUAAAGAGUUUAUUAAACGAGGGGAGGUUUUUGAUCCAUUGUCAACUCUUGAAGUGAAGUUCUUGAGAAAUCUCAUUGAAGAGUUUCUGGAGGUUUUGGAUGGUGAAGUGUUCCCUCUGAGUAAUUCAGGUGAUGGAAAUGAUCAAUUUGUUGAUGUCAAUGGCUUGAUAGAGGGAGACAAUGCUUGCAUUUUGUAUUGCGAGAGGUUCAUGGAGUUUCUGAUUGAUCUUUUAAGUCAACUCCCUACAAGAAGAUACCUUCGACCUCUUGUUGCUGAUGUUGGUGUUGUUGCCAAAUGUCAUUUAAGUGCCCUUUACAAACAUGAAAAAGGCAAACUUUUUGCUCAGCUGGUUGAUCUGCUGCAGUUCUACGAAGGAUUUGAGAUCAAUGAUCAUGUUGGGACACAAUUGACGGAUGAUGAGGUUCUCCAAUCUCAUUAUGACCGUGUCCAAUCUUUUCAGCUUCUUGCAUUUAAGAAGAUUCCAAAGCUGCGGGAACUUGCAUUGGCCAAUGUUGGUUCAAUUCAUAAACGUGCUGACCUUGCCAAGAAACUAUUGGUGCUUUCUCUUCCAGAGCUGAAAGAUUUGGUUUGCUCUAAGCUCAAGUUAGUGUCAAAAGAAGAUCCUUGGUCGGAUAGAGUUGAUUUUUUGAUUGAGGUUGUUGUUUCCUUUUUCGAGAAGCAACAGUCUCAAAAGGAAGCCAUUAAUGCACUUCCACUAUACCCAAAUGAGGAGAUAAUGUGGGAUGAGAGCGUUGUGCCAAGCAUAAAUUACUCGGGGGAAGGUUGCUUGGCUCUUCCAAAGUUAAAUUUACAGUUUUUAACGCUCCAUGACUAUCUUCUGAGAAAUUUCAAUCUCUUCCGCCUGGAAUCAACUUAUGAGAUCCGUGAAGACAUUCAGGAAGCUGUACCCCAUCUCCUUGCCUACAUUAAUAAUGAGGGGCAAACUGCUUUCCGUGGCUGGUCAAGAAUGGCCGUGCCAAUUAAAGAAUUCAAGAUUACUGAGGUGAAGCAGCCAAAUAUUGGGGAAGUCAAGCCUUCAUCUGUGACGGCAGAUGUCACUUUUAGCAUUUCUAGCUAUAGAGCCCAAAUAAGAUCUGAAUGGAAUGCUCUUAAGGAGCACGAUGUUUUAUUUUUACUUUCUAUUAGUCCAUCAUUUGAGCCUCUAAGUUCAGAGGAAGCUGACAAGGCCAGUGUUCCUCAACGUCUUGGCCUUCAGUGUGUACGAGGAUGUGAAAUUAUUGAGAUUCGUGAUGAAGAGGGAACUCUCAUGAAUGACUUUACUGGAAGAAUUAAACCGGAUGAGUGGAAACCUCCUAAGGGGGAGUUGAGAACUGUAACUGUAGCUUUGGAUACAGCACAGUACCAUAUGGAUGUCAGUGCUAUUGCAGAGAAGGGUUCAGAAGAUGUCUAUGGGACAUUUAAUGUCUUGAUGAGGAGGAAACCCAAGGAAAAUAAUUUUAAAGCUAUAUUGGAAUCUAUCAGGGAUCUUAUGAAUGAAUACUGUAUCGUUCCUGAUUGGUUGCACAAUAUACUUCUUGGUUAUGGGAAUCCUUCUGCUGCUCAAUGGACUAACAUGCCAGAUCUUUUGGAAGCAGUAGACUUCAAAGAUACAUUUCUUGACGCUGAUCAUUUGAAAGAAUGUUUUCCAGAUUAUGAGGUCUGUUUUACAAAUCCCGAUGGUGAGGAGAUUUUGCACCCAAGUCCCCCUUUCCGGAUUAGGCUUCCUAGAGUUCUUAAAGGUAGCAAUCAUGCCCUCCCGGAGAAUAAGAAGUCUUCAAGUAUUUCAAAGAAUGAUGUAAACAUGAUGGAUGCCUGUGCUGAGAAGGAGAAACUUAUGGUUGAGGCGUAUACUCCUCCUGACCCAGGUCCUUAUCCUCAAGAUCAGCCUAAACAGAACUCUGUCAGAUUUACUCCAACACAGGUUGGAGCAAUUAUCUCUGGUGUUCAACCUGGAUUAACCAUGGUUGUUGGUCCACCUGGUACUGGAAAGACUGACACAGCCGUUCAAGUUCUAAAUGUUCUUUAUCACAAUUGCCCUUCACAGAGAACAUUGAUAAUCACUCACUCAAAUCAAGCUCUGAAUGACCUAUUCGAGAAGAUAAUGGAGAGAGAUGUUCCUGCCCGCUAUCUGCUUCGCCUUGGUCAAGGUGAACAAGAAUUGGCAACUGAUCUUGAUUUCAGCCGACAGGGGCGUGUCAAUUCGAUGCUUGUGCGGAGGUUGGAAUUGCUAAGUGAAGUGGAGAGGCUGGCAAGAUCUCUCCAACUCCCUGAAGAUGUUGGAUAUACUUGUGAAACUGCCGGAUACUUUUGGUUACUGCAUGUGUACUCACGCUGGGAGCAAUUUAUAGCUGCGUGUGCUGGAAAUGAGGAUAAAUCUAAUUUUGUUCAAGAGAGAUUUCCCUUCAAGGAAUUUUUCUCCAAUGCACCAAAUCCAGUUUUCACGGGUGAAUUUUUUGAUAAAGAUAUGCGGGCAGCUAAGGGGUGCUUUCGUCAUCUCAAGACAAUGUUUCAGGAGCUUGAAGAGUGUAGAGCUUUUGAAUUACUCAAGUCUACAGCUGAUCGUGCAAACUACUUGAUGACUAAGCAGGCAAAAAUUGUUGCAAUGACUUGCACUCAUGCUGCCCUAAAGAGGAAAGAUUUUCUUCGUUUAGGUUUCAAGUAUGAUAAUUUGCUAAUGGAAGAAAGUGCACAAAUAUUAGAAAUUGAAACUUUUAUACCAAUGUUACUUCAGAGGCAGGAAGAUGGUUAUGCACGUCUCAAACGCUGCAUUUUGAUUGGUGAUCACCAUCAGUUGCCCCCUGUUGUUAAGAAUAUGGCUUUUCAAAAGUAUAGCCAUAUGGACCAAAGUUUAUUUACAAGGUUUGUCAGAUUGGGCAUUCCUUAUAUUGAACUCAAUGCUCAAGGUCGUGCCAGACCAAGUAUAGCCAAGCUUUACAACUGGAGAUAUAGAGAAUUGGGAGAUCUUCCCUAUGUGAAGGAGGCAGUCAUGUUUCAUAGAGCAAAUGCUGGAUUCUCUUAUGAUUAUCAGCUAGUGGAUGUGCCGGACUACCAAGGGAGGGGUGAGACUGCCCCUUCUCCUUGGUUUUAUCAGAACGAGGGGGAAGCUGAAUAUGUUGUUAGUGUGUAUAUUUAUAUGCGUUUACUAGGGUACCCUGCAAAUAAGAUAUCUAUCUUGACAACUUACAAUGGCCAGAAGCUUCUAAUCCGAGAUGUUAUCAAUCGUAGAUGUGUACCAUACAAUUUCAUUGGUGCCCCUAGCAAGGUUACGACAGUUGAUAAAUUUCAAGGUCAGCAGAAUGAUUAUAUAUUACUGUCUCUAGUUCGAACCCGCUUUGUGGGGCACCUUCGUGAUGUUAGAAGAUUGAUUGUGGCCAUGUCUCGUGCUCGACUUGGUUUGUAUGUCUUCUGCCGCCGAUCUCUGUUUGAACAAUGUUAUGAACUGCAGCCAACAUUUCAGCUUCUGCUUCAAAGGCCUGACCGCCUUGGACUCAACUUGAAUGAGAUAACAUCUUAUACAGAACGUAAUGUAGCAGACACUGGUCCUAUUUACCAUGUGAGUGGUAGUGAGGAGAUGGCCAGCAUUCUGGAACAGCUUUAUCAGAUUCGGAUCAGCAGCCAGCAAUUUGAUGGGUAUACCACACAUCCGGGGCAGCUUCCUCCCAACGACAAUGUUGACAUACAGCAAAAUGCUAUGGAUACAGAGCAGGCCAAUGAUGAUGGUGUUUCAGACACAACCAUGGAAACUUCAAAGACCGAUGGUCUUGCAAAUGGCGCAGAUGGAGGUUCUGCAAUUGAAAAUGGUUUAAUUGAGAAUGAAGAUGAUGAGGCUAACAAAGACAGUGGACCGAAGGAGGAGCCAAUGCUCGAGGAUAGUUCGACGAAGAAUGAUGAUGAUAAUGAGGCUAAGAAUGAUGAUGAUAUUGAGGCUAAGAAUGAUGAUGAUAUUGAGGCUAAGAAUGAUGAUAAUGAGGCUGAUAAAGAUGAUGAAAAUAUUGUGCCACAGGAAAGUAAUUCUGAUGGAACUACAAUGGAAGAAUAAUUUGGCUCUUCACUUCGAUUAUGGAGUUGGCUUUCUGAAAUUUGAAAAAUAUGAUUGAUACACAUACGUUAAAAGUUGGCACGAUGGCACUGUCCAAUAACUAUCAAUUUUGGAGAGUAGGACUAAACACCGAUAACUUGUAGGCAGUCAAAGAUUUCACGACAGAUUAGAGUUUUGAGCUGAUCAAUCGUUGCUCAUCUUGUUUGAAAGGCAGGUAUAUAUUUGCUUGAAACACGGUAUUGCGAGACUGCUCGAUCACUGGAGAGACAGUCGUCAGGGAAAGAUGCCAAACUGAUUUUGUGAUUUGAUCUCAUUUCUAGCCAUGCUCAAUAUUGGGUGUUUCUGUACAAGUGAAAUGUUGGAAUGCGGCUAUAAACUUCUAUUAGUCAGAGUUGGAACUCCUGAAAGAGGUUUUUCUCAUUCAUGUUUUUCUUCGAGUUUUCCUUUCAACGUUUCAUCACAUAGGAUUUAUCGCAUCAAGAGCACAUGGAAAGACUAGUCUAAUUCUAAGAAAAACUUUUCGCUUUUCACUUCCGAAGGAGAUUUACCAAUGGGACAAUGGGAGAAGGUCUGCUAGAGUUUAGUGCCACAUUAAAAGGAAGGCUCAAAAGGCAUACCUAACAAUCAGAUGGGGAAGCUACAACAUAACAGCCUGGAAAAUAAAUCCCUGAAAAGGCUUUCGAAAAACCAUUGCCAAAAGUGCUUUCACCUACCUACAUUUUAUAUUAAAUUAUUAUUAUUAUUUGCAUGAAUCAUCUUGAUGGGGAAAAAUCUGUCUCAUUCCAUCUUUUAGGUUUUUUCAAGAGAUAUUGAAACUUUAAAACUGGGAAUAUUGAAAAUUUAAUGGAAAUCUAAGAAUAUCUUUGAUUAUGUGGAAAUUAUGAA